GCCUAAGAGCAAGUCAAAACUACGAGAAGGGCGCGAGAAGUUUUGUGAAGGUAGAAAGAGAUUUAUUUUGGCAAGACUUAUUUAUUCUGCUUCAGCAGAACUUCUGGAAAUAGUGUUUUGCUUCUUUGAUUUCCAGGAUAUUAGUGACUCUCCAUACUUCAACAAGUACCCAGUAACUGACCUCCUGGUAUUGAGGCAUGCUGCCCAG
rnacentral:lncRNA from 1 species